UACAGAGGGGGCAAGCGUUGUUCGGAAUUACUGGGCGUAAAGGGCGCGUAGGCGGCCCGCUAAGUCGAACGUGAAAUCCCCAGGCUUAACCUGGGAACUGCGUCCGAUACUGGCAGGCUUGAAUCCGGGAGAGGGAUGUGGAAUUCCAGGUGUAGCGGUGAAAUGCGUAGAUAUCUGGAGGAACACCGGUGGCGAAGGCGGCAUCCUGGACCGGUAUUGACGCUGAGGCGCGAAAGCCAGGGGAGCAAACGGG
rnacentral:rRNA from 1 species